GACGAACGCUGGCGGCGUGCCUAAUACAUGCAAGUCGAGCGAACAGACGCGGAGCUUGCUCCUCUGACGUUAGACGCGGAAGGGUGAGUAACAUGAGGAUAACCUACCUAUAAGACUGGGAUAACUUCGGGAAACCGGUGCUAAUUCCGGAUAAUAUCUUCAUCCGCAUGGUUGAAUAGUGACAGCCGGUUUUGCUGUACCUUAUAGAUGGAUCCGCGCCGCUUUAGCUGGUUGUUAAGGUAACGGCUUACCAAGGCAACCAUGCGUAGCCGACCUGUGGGGGGGGUCGGCGACACUGGAGCUGAGACGCGGUCCAGGCACCGAGAGAAGGCACCGGUACGGAAUCUUCCGCAAUGGGCGGAAGCCUGACGGAGCAGCGCCGCGUGAGUGAUGAAGGUCUUCGGAUCGUAAGACUCUCUUAUUGGGGAAAAACAAAUGUGUAAGUAGCUAUGCACGUCUUGACGGUACCUAAUCAGAAAGCCACGGCUAACUACGUG
rnacentral:rRNA from 1 species